ACUGGAACCUGGAACAUACAGCUGGGCCCAAAGCUCCCCUUCAACAUAGGCACAGUGGGAAGGAUUACUGUGGGUCACUGCCCACUGCGAUUAAGAGCCAGUGAUUGAGCCAUUUUGCCCAGGGCUCCUGAAUGCUGGGUUUGGGGGUGGGACUAUAGCUCUGUCCAACCUCCCUGCUUGUCUGAUCUACCCCUUUCACUUGGCUGCACAAUUGCACAAGCAGCAAAUCCAGGUAGAGCCCAAGCAGCACAUGUGGCACUGGCAAAGAGCGAUGAGAGCAGGGAGAGUGCUUAGGAAGAACUGAAUUGGCAGAAAGGCUCCCCUGCUGCCAUCCCUCACUCUGCCAGCUACCCCUUCUCCUUGCUGUGCCAGGCUGCAGAGGUGUCCUCCACUUUGCCCAUGAGAUUCCAGUGCUGUUACAGCAGCAUCACAGGAGACCCAGGCACAGUGCACACAGUCCCAUCCCACCUGCCACUAGGGCAUGUACUCUGCCACAUCUCAGAACAAGGAUACAGUUGUAGCAACACUGGGGUGAGCCAGUUCAGUGUAAGAAGACUUAAAAAACAAAACAAAAAAGGAGGGGGACGGCUACGCUCGCCCAAAGAGAAAAGUGUAGAGGGAACCAAUGCCUGACAAAAGAAAGGAGGCUGUUCAAUAGAGGCUGGCUGGCAAACACUUUGGUUUCAGAUUCUGAUGCAGCCAGGAUCUAUGUAGAAACUUUUGGAAUAGAGACAUUGGUCCAGAUAUUCAUAUCUCAAAAGUGUUGCAUCCAGCAUGGUUGAAUUCUUUAUUAGACUUCAUCUUCAUUGAUAAAGAAGAACUGAUCCGGGAACUAAAAAUGAAAGGAUUUCCAGUGCACCUCAAAUUGUGUUAAUUGCACAGCUCUAUCUCCAACAUCACAACACAGCAUCAUGGGGAGCCAAGUAAGAGGGAGAAGCAGUCAUGUGUGG